rnacentral:tRNA from 1 species
GUCUCGGUAGUGCAAGGGAUAGAGCACUGUGCCUGGAAUGCACAAGUAUGGGUUCGAGUCCCAUCCGAGGCC